CCUUUUAUUUCUAAAGAAAUGUAUUUUUUACAAUUGUUGUAUGGUUGUAAGUUAUUGGAUAUAGUGGCCGAGUUAGGAUUUUCACUAGGGGUUAAAAAUAUGAAGAUGAAACAUACGAAGUCAUCGAAAGGUUGUUUAACAUCACCAAUUUUAUGUUGUUCUUUGUUCUGUUUUAUUUCUAAUAUGAACUUUUGUUUAUAAAGAAAUGUUUUUUGCACUUGUUAUAUGGCUGUAGG
rnacentral:lncRNA from 1 species